ACCAAGAAGUCUAUCUUGCGCGCAAGCCAAUGGUCGUCCUCCGGAGCACCAAAGGCGCAGAAAACAUAACUUGAGUUGUGCGGGAUUACGGGCGCGGCUCUCUGCUCGUCCCUCCAUCCCCGGGUGUUGCAAUCGGCAUGCGGCUACCGGGACCCAGGCCGCAAGGCCCCCGGCACCGUGCCGCAACAUACCGUGAGUGUGCAGGAUGUGACCCGAAAGAUGGUGAACUAUGCCUGAUCAGGUUGAAGUCAGGGGAAACCCUGAUGGAGGACCGAAGCAGUUCUGACGUGCAAAUCGAUUGUCAGAAUUGGGCAUAGGGGCGAAAGACCAAUCGAACCAUCUAGUAGCGGGUUCCCUCCGAAGUUUCCCUCAUGAUAGCUGGAGCACGCAACGUUUCGUAACCUAUUCUUAUCUGGUAAAGCGAAUGAUUAGAGGGCUUAGGUUCGAAAUGAUCUUAACCUAUUCUCAAAUAAUAACAGGGUAGUACCCUUUCAAUUCUUGCUUGACGCUGGUGGAAAUGUUUACACCGGUCAACAUCGCGGUAGGGGGUGUUGACACCACAAGAUGGAAAAAAAAAUAU
rnacentral:ncRNA from 1 species